rnacentral:lncRNA from 1 species
UCCACUAAAUACGACUCACCCACACAUGACAAGCCGACUCCUCACUGAAUUUUAGAACUGAACUGAACCUACAGUCCUACACUAGCUACCAGAAAAGCACAUCAUUUAAACUGGGAAGUAGCAUUUGGUGACAGAUCCUGGCCGCCGCAAUAAACUCUAAAGCAGUUUACCAAGGAAAAACGAAAAUGAAUCACACAAUGCUUGAAUUAGGCAUUAGUCCAGGCAGCACCGAGUCCGGCGAGCAGAGGGCGUCCAAGGUGGAUGUUGUGCUUCUGGCAGUCUGGCCGCUAUAGUUGUGAAGCUUGCAUAGCACAGGUCCACAGUCUUGCAUCACCUCGCCUCCGGUCGCUCCGCUCUCUGCAUCAGUGUGUGAAGAUGCUCGCAAAACAGGUCUGUCUGAUCUAGCAUGUGUUCUUUGAAGAUCACAUGCCAUCUUCCAAUUGUUCUUAAAACCAACGACCAAAUAUGUUUCAACGAUAACCAGACAACACCAUUAGACACCAUCAGCGGCGAAGAUAGGGAGGGCCAUGAAGGCCC